CACUGAGGAAUAAGACGACAGAAGUGCGGUCAGUAAGAAUUUUCAGAAAUAUUUAAAUGAUUUUGGAAUUCCAGGGUGUGUAAUUCUUGACAAUGGGACUGAAUUCACAUCACAACAGUUUAGAGAUCUUUGCCAAAAGCACAACAUAAACACUGGUUUCAUCAUACCAUACCAUCCUGAAGGUAACAGCAUAUCAGAAAGAAUGCAUAGGGCUAUGAAGACCCUAUUGAAUGUCAUGUGUCAGGGUCAUAUCAGUGGCCAACCUAUUUAGGCGAAACCCAACGAGUCCUUAAUUGUGCUGUCCACGCAACAACAGGUGAACAGCCACAUUAUGUCUUCUUUAGCAGAGACCUGCUAGACAAAUAAUAACUACAUUACCGUCAAUUGAUGAUGAAGAUGAGUGAUUCUGAUAUCGCCAAAGUUCAUGAGAUAAUCCAAAAGACCCACUUAGAGAGGUCAAAAACAUUUUUAAGUAUAGCGAACCGAAAGCGAGUGAAUACGAGUGUUGAAAAGAAUUCACUAGUCUGGGUCAGAAAUGAGACUCAAAUACCUGGUACUAGUCGAAAGUUAAAUGUUAAGUGGCUCGGACCCUAUAGUGUUAGAAAUUGUGCGAGAUGGAUCCACUUAUGUGUUGAAAAAUUUGUUUGAUGAUGCAGUCGUAGAACGAGCUGCUAAUAAACUAAAGCCAUUCCACGGUGAUGAAGAAUGGUUAGUUACCAUGAAAGAGCACUCUGAAAAUGUGCCUGAUAUAGUAACUGAAGGAGUUCAUACAAGAGGUGCUAUGAAUAUUGUGCCUCCCUCACGUCUCAUUGAAGAGAUAUAGACUCUGUUUGAUGAUGUACAAUACUGUAAUUUUGUAUGUUUUGUAUUUUUUUUUUCUUAGUUUGAGAUUGAUGAAAAUGUAAUUUUUUAUGUUCACAGUGACCAGCAAUGUGAAAACUUUAUAGUGUUGAAGUAAUGAACAAAGGUAUAAUGUAAAACAUUUUGUACAAGAAUUCACAUAGUGCCCUGGUUGGGAAUGCAAUUGUGUCUUAUGGGUCUUGUAUUAUGAGAAAUUGUCAGUUUUGCUCUUGUAGUACUGGUUUGGUACAUCUUAGAGGAUAGAGUACACCACUUUCCAAACCCCUUUGAGAUUCAAGUUUAGAGUCGUUUCUAGCCAAGAGCUCUGGUGAGUUUGAUAAUCAUUAGGACGCCUCAAUAGGAGUAAAUUCUGUCUUCACAUGUGGAGAACUCUUUUGUUGCAGAGUGAUGUGACAUCCUGUGUAAGUGGAGUCAAUCUAACCCCAGUAUUAGGCUAGACAAAGCUAUUAGGAAAGCUGUUUUGAAUGCACACCUAUAGGGUAGUGUCCCCAUUUAGUACUCAAGUAUAUCCUUGUGUUAUGUUGUUGCAAGAGCCCCUUUAGUCUCUAGUUGAGAUAGUUGCUCGUUCCUACUGUACAAGACCUGUUUUUCCACAGUCACAGACCCAUCUAAGGAGCUGUUUGGUUCUGUUAGGAAAAGUUGUCCUUGAUAUUAGAGUGGACAUGAAUCAAUUCUUCCCCGAGGGAAAAGCUUUGUAAUGGGAAAAAUAUUCCUUUAAUUAUUAGUGUUUAUUUAGGAAUUGAUUCAUCAUCCUCCUCUAAUAUCUUUACACUACUAUUGUAAGUGAUUGGAACUGUGAAAUGUUUUCAUUUUUGUUGUGGACGAGUGUGGCUGUGUAGCCAGUCCCUUGUUUUGUUUUACUCUCACUUUGAGUAGUGGAGCGCUGCCCUGAAUCUUUCGUCUGCAUUUUGGUAACACUACACUAGCAACACAUGUAAGAAUCACGAAUGCUUUCGUGUGAGGGGUCGUCAACCUGUCCGCUCUUCAUUUUGGCUAUUUUACCAAAUAUUAAUACAAAUGAUUAUCUAUCCCUUACAAGGGAUCUAGUCCAGGGGAUCUAGUCCAGAGAUCUAGUCCAGGAGUUCUGAAGACUAGAUAAAUUAAUCAAGUCCAGGAGACUAGGCCUGGGAGAAAUUUAGCAUGAUGUACUGAGUAAUAAAGAAACACGCUGAGUA